rnacentral:tRNA from 1 species
GGUCUCGUAGCUUAGUAGGUUAGAGCACUUGACUCAUAAUCAAGGGGUCGCUGGUUCAAAUCCAGCCGAGACCA